rnacentral:rRNA from 1 species
UACGUAGGGUGCGAGCGUUAUCCGGAAUCAUUGGGCGUAAAGAGCUCGUAGGCGGUUCAGCAAGUCGGCUGUGAAAGCCCGAGGCUCAACCUCGGAACUGCAGUCGAUACUGCUGUGACUCGAGUCCGGUAGAGGAGAACGGAAUUCCAGGUGUAGCGGCGAAAUGCGCAGAUAUCGGGAGGAACACCAGUAGCGAAGGCGGUUCUCUGGGCCGGCACUGACGCUGAGGAGCGAAAGCGUGGGGAGCAAACAGG